rnacentral:rRNA from 1 species
GAUGAACGCUGGCGGCGUGCCUAAUACAUGCAAGUCGAGCGAACGGACGAGAAGCUUGCUUCUCUGAUGUUAGCGGCGGACGGGUGAGUAACACGUGGAUAACCUACCUAUAAGACUGGGAUAACUUCGGGAAACCGGAGCUAAUACCGGAUGAUAUUUUGAACCGCAUGGUUCAAAAGUGAAAGACGGUCUUGCUAUCACUUAUAGAUGGAUCCGCGCUGCAUUAGCUAGUUGGUAAGGUAACGGCUUACCAAGGCAACGAUGCAUAGCCGACCUGAGAGGGUGAUCGGCCACACUGGAACUGAGACACGGUCCAGACUCCUACGGGAGGCAGCAGUAGGGAAUCUUCCGCAAUGGGCGAAAGCCUGACGGAGCAACGCCGCGUGAGUGAUGAAGGUCUUCGGAUCGUAAAACUCUGUUAUUAGGGAAGAACAUAUGUGUAAGUAACUGUGCACAUCUUGACGGUACCUAAUCAGAAAGCCACGGCUAACUACGUG